rnacentral:rRNA from 1 species
UUUCUUUAGAUAAAUUUAAAGGUAAUGCCUGCUCAAUGAAUAUUAAAUUGCCGCAGUAUUAUGACUGUGCUAAGGUAGCAUAAUAAUUUGUCUUUUAAAUGGGGACUGGAAUGAAAGGUUUUAUGGGGAUGUAUUAAUGAUUUAAUAAACUUUUGAAGUUAAGGUUUUAGUUAAAAUUCUUAAGCUUAUUUGAGGGACGAGAAGACCCUGUGGAUCUUUAUUUUACCGAUAAUAACUUACUAUAAAUGUUUUAUUAUCAAAAAAAUUUGAUUGGGACGAUUAUUAUUUUGACAUAAUUUUUAGGUUUUAUUUUGAUCCUUUAGAAGGAAUUAAGAUUAAGUUACCCCAGGGAUAACAGCGUUAUAUUAUUGGAUAGUUCAUAUUGAUAAUAAUGUUUGCGACCUCGAUGUUGAAUUAAAAUUUCUUUUUAAAGCAGAAGUUAAAUUAGUAAGUCUGUUCGACUUUUAAAAUUUU